rnacentral:lncRNA from 1 species
CUGGAGCCCCAGCCGCGCCUCCCUGGCUGCAGCUGCUGUAUUCACAGCAGCCGCUUCAGGCGGGCCGCCACGGCGAUCAGUUUUUCAUGGCCUCCAGGUUCUGAUGAAGCGUGGGAUUUUCUGCCCUGUACCCCUCAGAACAAGAAACCACCUUACUGCAGUCUGUAAGUGGCUCCUCAGUAACAGGGCACCCACAACUUUCAUGGCAUCCGCCCGUUACUUUUGUGUCUUCCCUUCUGUGUGUGGGACCAGGAACCUGUGGAGCUGGCUCUCAGCUUACUGCUCUUUCUGCUAUGUAAGCGAUCAACUGUCUGACUCUAAAAGUGACUCGUAUUUUUCCUUUUGAAUCAGACAGACCCUGAUCUGGGUUUUGCUUUGUGUUUUAUGUGUGAGCUUUAUACUCUGAAGUCGCUUUAUAUUUUAUUUUUUCAUUUAUUAACAAAUAUUUCUAUCAUAUUUCCUAUGGACCAAGCACUUUACAAAGUAUUAAUACAUUUAAUACUUGGUAUAACCCUAUAAAGUCAGUGCUAUUAUCACCCUCACUUUAAAAAUGAGGAAGCAAAGCCCUAGAGUGGUUAAGAAACUUGUCCAAGAUUACACAGCCAGUGGCAGAGUCAGAUGGGCUGCUCUGGAGUCAAGGCUCUUAACCACUGUGUUUUGCUGCCUUAUGUUAACAGAGUUUACACUUAGGGCACUUUUUCUCAGACAACACACAUCAGAAGCACCUAGAUUACCCAGUUGAAAUGCAGUUUCCUGGGUUCCAUCCGGACCUAUCCUGUGAGAAUCCUUGGUAAUGGGUCCAGAAAUUUCCAGAUACCUAGAGAUAGAACGAACACUCUGCCGCAAUGAAGCAACUGGAGGAUGAACAGACAGGAGGAGACCGGGUCCCUGGAGACCCGAGGAGCCACCAUUUAUGCAAUUUGAAAACCCUGACUCUUGUCUUUGCAGAAAAAUUCAUUCCUAUUUGGUUAAGCCACUGCAGCUGGGUUUUUCUUACAUAAAGCUGACUGUAUUCCUAAAAGACACAGAGGAUCUCUUUAAAUAGGAGUAAUAUAUUUACUUAUAAUAAUUUGAUUUUCUGAAAUAGCACUGUAGAAAUAUAAUGUAGUCCACAUAUGUAACACUUUCUAAUAGCUACAUUUUAAAAUGGCAAAAAGAGGUAAAAUUAUUUUAAUAUGUUGUAUUUAACCCAAUAUAUUGAAAGCAUUAUUUCAACAUGAUGCUAAAAAUCAUCAGUGAUAUUUUUACAUUCUUUUUUUAAGAAAACUAGGUCUUCAUAGUUCAGUGUGCAUUGUACACCUUUUAUUUAUGGCACAUCUUAAUUCAGUCUGGCCACAUUUCAAGAGCUCCAUAGCCCCACGUGGCGGCUAGCAGCUGCUGUAUUGGACAGUACAGUCCUACAGCUCCUCAUCUGUGACCUGUUUUGUGCUCUGGUUCUCAAACUCGACUGCACUGGAAUCAUCAGAGGAGCUUAAAGGAAUGCUACCUUGGUGGUCCCACCUCAAAUACUGACACAUCGGAGGUCUGAGUGCUGCUGGGGAAUCAGGAGUUCUAAAGGCUCUCCAGGUGAUUCUAGUUUAGGAAUUACUGUUCUAGCGCCUUUUUUUCUUGAGCCUCAUUAUCAGUCUGGGAACAGUUGGAUGGUGUUUUUUUCAGGAGCUGCUUUCUCCAAAUCAGAACUGGCAGGCUUGCACUGGGUCUAAACUCUGUCUCCAACUCUGCCUCCACCUCCCUCUCUCACACACACAUGUGUAGACACACACACCCCACCAAGGCCCUAGAAGCUUAGUCCAUGCACUGUAUGUUACCAGGUCAAUGCAGCUGUGGUCUCAGGGCAACCAGAUCAUACCAAAACAUCCCAAAGAUGAGCUCUCUUCAUUCUCAAAGACUUAAGUUACGACAAAAUCCUGGGACCAUGAAUAAGCCUGUGAAGAUAGAUGUAACACUCUGAUCAUGGGCUGGAAAGACUAAAGCCCCGGUGGAGGUCAGAAAAGCCCAGAUCCAUGUGACGCCUAUGAACGAGCGCCAGCCCAGCAGACCUCAGGACAGGCAUCCACAAGAAAGCUGGCUGUGCACUAGGACUCUAGAAGCCAGGUACAUUUCUCCCUAAAGUCCCUUUCAAAUUAACCAAUAACUCCAAGUGAUACUUUUAUUUUUACUUUUAUCUUUUGAGACAAGGUCUCGCUCUGUCGCCUAGGCUGGUGUGUAGUGGAGCAAUCAUGGCUCACUGCAGCCUCAACCUCCUGGGCCCAAGCUAUCCUCCCACCUCAGCCCUCUGAGUAGCUGUGACUACAAGCGCGUGCCACCGUGCCUGGCUAAUUUUUAAUUUUUUUUUGUAGAGACAGGGUCUCUCUGUAUUGCCCAAACUGGUCUCAAACUCCUGGCCUCAAGCAAUCCUCCUGCCUCAGCCUCCAAAGUGCUGUUAUUACAAGCAUGAGCCACUGUGCCCAGCUUAGUUGGUACUAUUGAUACCCUAUGUCAGACAUUACUUCUUUAAAGAACAAUCAGCUGUUAAAUACAAAACAAAACAAACUUUAUUCUGGAAAUAAAGUCUUAAAAACAAAUUUCCCAAGUCAGAUUCAUUCUCUCCAACCCAAUAGUUUUUUGAGUACCUAUUCUGUCAUUCAUCAUGUUUGGUUUUUACAAAGGAAGAAAGGUAGACUUUUUGUUAGGAAGCACAGGUGCCAGAAGGGGAUUCAAGGUUUAUUCACAAAUGUUUGAUAAGUAUCUGCCCUGUGCCAGGUUCUGUGCUGAGUGCUGAGAACAGAGUGAUAAAGAGGACAUAGUUUCUGCCCUUCCGAAGCUUAAAUUGUGCCUCUAUUGGGUAUAGCACUUGGCUGGAGUGUCUCUCCAGAAUGCUUGCCCUGAGUAGGUUGGGGGCGGGGGGGCGGGUAUACUUCUUGCUGAUAUCCCCUUGUAUAUGCAGUUUCUAGCUGAGGACAGCUUUUUGUCAUUAAGAACUCCUGCUGGAGGUCAGUCAGGUAAUUGCUGCUAGUAGAAAUGAUCUCCUGCUAGCAAUUAUCAACAAUGAAAAUGUUGAUUAAAUAAUGGGUCUUCUAACUUCUUAUCUGAAAAGUUAUUUUUCUUUAAUGGCAUCAGUAAAGGGAUAAUGAGUUAUCAUGUGCCUCUUGUUAGGAUGCCUAAGGACUCAACUGAUCUUCAAUGAGAUUCCUGAAACUAACAAGAAAACAUUAGAGGAAAUAAAAAAGAGGGACACUAUAAAAACUUACUGGCUUAUACUCUCCAAAAUUGUCAAGGCCAUGAAGACAAAACCAAGAAAUUGUUCCUGAUUAAAGGAGACUAAAGACUAGAGACCUAACAACUAAAUUAAUUGGAGAUUCUGGAUUGGAUCCAGGACCUAGACAAAAAAUUGUUUUUCUUUUGCUACAAAGGACAUUAAUGGUACAACUGAUAGAUUUGAAUAAGUUCUGUAGAUUAUAGUAUCAUAGCAGUGUAAAUUUCUGAUUUUGAUAAUUAUAUAAUUUCAUAUGAGACUAAAUUUUCUGAUUUU